rnacentral:rRNA from 1 species
AGAGUUUGAUCAUGGCUCAGAACGAACGCUGGCGGCAGGCCUCAAACAUGCAAGUCUAGGGGGUGUAGCAAUACAUCACCGGCGGACGGGUGCGUAACACGUGGGAAUAUACCUUUUGGUUCGGAACAACGCAGGGAAACUUGCGCUAAUACCGAAUGUGCCCUUACGGGGAAAGAUUUAUCGCCAAAGGAUUAGCCCGCGUAGGAUUAGCUAGUUGGUGAGGUAAUGGCUCACCAAGGCUCCGAUCCUUAGCUGUUCUGAGAGGAAGAUCAGCCACACUGGGACUGAGACACGGCCCAGACUCCUACGGGAGGCAGCAGUGGGGAAUUUUGCGCAAUGGGGGAAACCCUGACGCAGCAACGCCGCGUGGAGGAUGAAGCCCCUUGGGGCGUAAACUCCUUUCGACCAAGACGAUAAUGACGGUACUGGUGGAAGAAGCACCGGCUAACUCUGUGCCAGCAGCCGCGGUAAUA